GACGAACGCUGGCGGCGUGCUUAACACAUGCAAGUCGAACGGAAAGGCCCUGCUUUUGUGGGGUGCUCGAGUGGCGAACGGGUGAGUAACACGUGAGUAACCUGCCCUUGACUUUGGGAUAACUUCAGGAAACUGGGGCUAAUACCGGAUAGGAGCUCCUGCUGCAUGGUGGGGGUUGGAAAGUUUCGGCGGUUGGGGAUGGACUCGCGGCUAUCAGCUUGUUGGUGGGGUAGUGGCUUACCAAGGCUUUGACGGGUAGCCGGCCUGAGAGGGUGACCGGCCACAUUGGGACUGAGAUACGGCCCAGACUCCUACGGGGGGCAGCAGUGGGGAAUAUUGCACAAUGGGCGGAAGCCUGAUGCAGCAACGCCGCGUGCGGGAUGACGGCCUUCGGGUUGUAAACCGCUUUCGCCUGUGACGAAGCGUGAGUGACGGUAAUGGGUAAAGAAGCACCGGCUAACUACGUG
rnacentral:rRNA from 1 species